rnacentral:rRNA from 1 species
CGAGGGGAGUGAAAAAGAACCUGAAACCGUGUACGUACAAGCAGUGGGAGCACGCUUAGGCGUGUGACUGCGUACCUUUUGUAUAAUGGGUCAGCGACUUAUAUUCUGUAGCAAGGUUAACCGAAUAGGGGAGCCGAAGGGAAACCGAGUCUUAACUGGGCGUUAAGUUGCAGGGUAUAGACCCGAAACCCGGUGAUCUAGCCAUGGGCAGGUUGAAGGUUGGGUAACACUAACUGGAGGACCGAACCGACUAAUGUUGAAAAAUUAGCGGAUGACUUGUGGCUGGGGGUGAAAGGCCAAUCAAACCGGGAGAUAGCUGGUUCUCCCCGAAAGCUAUUUAGGUAGCGCCUCGUGAAUUCAUCUCCGGGGGUAGAGCACUGUUUCGGCAAGGGGGUCAUCCCGACUUACCAACCCGAUGCAAACUGCGAAUACCGGAGAAUGUUAUCACGGGAGACACACGGCGGGUGCUAACGUCCGUCGUGAAGAGGGAAACAACCCAGACCGCCAGCUAAGGUCCCAAAGUCAUGGUUAAGUGGGAAACGAUGUGGGAAGGCCCAGACAGCCAGGAUGUUGGCUUAGAAGCAGCCAUCAUUUAAAGAAAGCGUAAUAGCUCACUGGUCGAGUCGGCCUGCGCGGAAGAUGUAACGGGGCUAAACCAUGCACCGAAGCUGCGGCAGCGACGCUGAUGCGUUGUUGGGUAGGGGAGCGUUCUGUAAGCCUGCGAAGGUGUGCUGUGAGGCAUGCUGGAGGUAUCAGAAGUGCGA